CCUACGGGUGGCAGCAGUGAGGAAUAUUGGUCAAUGGCCGGAAGGCUGAACCAGCCAUGCCGCGUGAAGGUCAGUGCCCUAUGGGCGUUAAACUUCUUUUGUGCGGGAGCAAUAAUGGUCACGUGUGGCCAGACGAGAGUACCGUACGAAUAAGCAUCGGCUAACUCCGGGCCAGCAGCCGCGGUAAUACGGGGGAUGCAAGCGUUAUCCGGAUUUAUUGGGUUUAAAGGGUGCGUAGGCGGUGAGGUAAGUCAGCGGUGAAAUGCCCCCGGUCAACGGGGUGAAGUGCCAUUGAUACUGCCUGGCUGGAAUGCGGAUGCCGUGGGAGGAAUGUGUGGUGUAGCGGUGAAAUGCAUAGAUAUCACACAGAACACCGAUUGCGAAGGCAUCUCACGAGUCCGCGAUUGACGCUGAUGCACGAAAGCGUGGGUAUCAAACAGGAUUAGAUACCCGUGUAGUC
rnacentral:rRNA from 1 species